UACGUAGGGUGCAAGCGUUGUCCGGAAUUAUUGGGCGUAAAGAGCUCGUAGGCGGUUUGUCGCGUCGGAUGUGAAAACCCAAGGCUCAACCUUGGGCCUGCAUUCGAUACGGGCAGACUAGAGUUCGGUAGGGGAGACUGGAAUUCCUGGUGUAGCGGUGAAAUGCGCAGAUAUCAGGAGGAACACCGGUGGCGAAGGCGGGUCUCUGGGCCGAUACUGACGCUGAGGAGCGAAAGCGUGGGGAGCGAACAGG
rnacentral:rRNA from 1 species